CUCAACGGAGGAACUGCACGGUGAACCGCAUGUCUUGAGACACGUAGGGGCGAUCGGAACGCACGGUGGAGUGGUGAAAUGCGUUGAUAUCGUGCGGAACGCCGAAGGAGAAAUCAGGUCGCUGGGCGUGUUCUGACGCUGAGGUACGAAAGCGUGGGGAGCGAACGGGAUUAGAUACCCCGGUAGUCCACGCCGUAAACGUUGUGCACUAGGUCGUGGGUGGUUUGACCCAUUCUCGGCCGAAGCGAAAGUGCUAAGUGCACCGCCUGGGGAGUACGGUCGCAAGGCUAAAACUCAAAGGAAUUGACGGGGGCUCACACAAGCGGUGGAGCAUGUGGCUUAAUUCGAAGCAACGCGAAGAACCUUAUCCUGGGUUUGACAUGCACGGAUUAACCCCGUGAAAGCGGGGCCACGCCUUUCAGGUGGAACG
rnacentral:rRNA from 1 species